rnacentral:rRNA from 1 species
UGCUGGAGCGAAUAGAAGUGAGCAUGCAGGCAUGAGUAGCGAUAAUUAAUGUGAGAAUCAUUAACGCCGUAAACCCAAGGUUUCCUACGCGAUGCUCGUCAUCGUAGGGUUAGUCGGGUCCUAAGUCGAGUCCGAAAGGGGUAGACGAUGGCAAAUUGGUUAAUAUUCCAAUACCAACAUUAGUGUGCGAUGGAAGGACGCUUAGGGCUAAGGGGGCUAGCGGAUGGAAGUGCUAGUCUAAGGUCGUAGGAGGUUAUACAGGCAAAUCCGUAUAACAAUACUCCGAGAACUGAAAGGCUUUUUGAAGUCUUCGGAUGGAUAGAAGAACCCCUGAUGCCGUCGAGCCAAGAAAAGUUUCUAAGUUUAGCUAAUGUUGCCCGUACCGUAAACCGACACAGGUGGGUGGGAUGAGUAUUCUAAGGCGCGUGGAAGAACUCUCUUUAAGGAACUCUGCAAAAUAGCACCGUAUCUUCGGUAUAAGGUGUGGUUCGCUUCGUAUUAGGAUUUACUCCGAAAGCGAAGAAACUUACAACAAAGAGUCCCUCCCGACUGUUUACCAAAAACACAGCACUCUGCUAACUCGUAAGAGGAUGUAUAGGGUGUGACGCCUGCCCGGUGCUCGAAGGUUAAUUGAUGGGGUUAGCAUUAGCGAAGCUCUUGAUCGAAGCCCGAGUAAACGGCGGCCGUAACUAUAACGGUCCUAAGGUAGCGAAAUUCCUUGUCGGUUAAAUACCGACCUGCAUGAAUGGCGUAACGAGAUGGGAGCUGUCUCAAAGAGGGAUCCAGUGAAAUUGUAGUGGAGGUGAAAAUUCCUCCUACCCGCGGCAAGACGGAAAGACCCCGUGGACCUUUACUACAGCUUGACACUGCUAUUUGGAUAAGAAUGUGCAGGAUAGGUGGGAGGCUUUGAGUAUAUGACGCCAGUUGUAUAUGAGCCAUUGUUGAGAUACCACUCUUUCUUAUUUGGGUAGCUAACCAGCUUGAGUUAUCCUCAAGUGGGACAAUGUCUGGUGGGUAGUUUGACUGGGGCGGUCGCCUCCCAAAUAAUAACGGAGGCUUACAAAGGUUGGCUCAGAACGGUUGGAAAUCGUUCGUAGAGUAUAAAGGUAUAAGCCAGCUUAACUGCAAGACAUACAAGUCAAGCAGAGACGAAAGUCGGUCUUAGUGAUCCGGUGGUUCUGUGUGGAAGGGCCAUCGCUCAAAGGAUAAAAGGUACCCCGGGGAUAACAGGCUGAUCUCCCCCAAGAGCUCACAUCGACGGGGAGGUUUGGCACCUCGAUGUCGGCUCAUCGCAUCCUGGGGCUGGAGCAGGUCCCAAGGGUAUGGCUGUUCGCCAUUUAAAGCGGUACGCGAGCUGGGUUCAGAACGUCGUGAGACAGUUCGGUCCCUAUCUGCCGUGGGCGUAAGAAGAUUGAAGAGAUUUGACCCUAGUACGAGAGGACCGGGUUGAACAAACCACUGGUGUAGCUGUUGUUCUGCCAAGAGCAUCGCAGCGUAGCUAAGUUUGGAAAGGAUAAACGCUGAAAGCAUCUAAGCGUGAAGCCAACUCUAAGAUGAAUCUUCUCUAAGCUCUCUAGAAGACUACUAGUUUGAUAGGCUGGGUGUGUAAUGGAUGAAAGUCCUUUAGCUGACCAGUACUAAUAGAGCGUUUGGCUUAUCUUU